UUAUAUUGAAAACUGAGGUGGAUAAAGAUGGGCACGCGCAAGAUUAGAUAGUUGGUAGGGUAACGGCCUACCAAGUCCACGAUCUUUAGGGGGCCUGAGAGGGUGAUCCCCCACACUGGUACUGAGACACGGACCAGACUCCUACGGGAGGCAGCAGUGAGGAAUAUUGGACAAUGGGUUAGCGCCUGAUCCAGCCAUCCCGCGUGAAGGAUGACGGCCCUAUGGGUUGUAAACUUCUUUUGUAUAGGGAUAAACCUUUCCACGUGUGGAAAGCUGAAGGUACUAUUUUUUUUAUCACCGGCUAACUCCGUGCCAGCAGCCUCGGUAAUACGGAGGGUGCAAGCGUUAUCCGGAUUUAUUGGGUUUAAAGGGUCCGU
rnacentral:rRNA from 1 species